AGUAACGGCGAGUGAAGCGGCAAAAGCUCAAAUUGUGAGAAUCUGGUAGCCUUCGGUGCCCGAGUUGUAAUUUGGAGAGGGCAACUUUGGGGCCGUUCCUUGUCUAUGUUCCUUGGAACAGGACGUCAUAGAGGGUGAGAAUCCCGUGUGGCGAGGAGUGCGGUUCUUUGUAAAGUGCCUUCGAAGAGUCGAGUUGUUUGGGAAUGCAGCUCUAAGUGGGUGGUAAAUUCCAUCUAAAGCUAAAUAUUGGCGAGAGACCGAUAGCGAACAAGUACAGUGAUGGAAAGAUGAAAAGAACUUUGAAAAGAGAGUGAAAAAGUACGUGAAAUUGUUGAAAGGGAAGGGCAUUUGAUCAGACAUGGUGUUUUGUGCCCUCUGCUCCUUGUGGGUAGGGGAAUCUCGCAUUUCACUGGGCCAGCAUCAGUUUUGGUGGCAGGAUAAAUCCAUAGGAAUGUAGCUUGCCUCGGUAAGUAUUAUAGCCUGUGGGAAUACUGCCAGCUGGGACUGAGGACUGCGACGUAAGUCAAGGAUGCUGGCAUAAU
rnacentral:rRNA from 1 species